CGAAGCCUGACGCAGCACGCCGCGUGGAUGAUGAAGUCCUUCGGGAUGUAAAGUCCUUUUGCAGAGGAAGAACAGCCUGCUUUGCGGGUGUGACGGUACUCUGCGAAUGGUCCACGGCUAACGCUGGCCAGCAGCCGCGGUAAUACAUGGGGGGCAAGGGUUGUGCGGAUUUACU
rnacentral:rRNA from 1 species